UUGAGGCCUUCUGCGGCUCAAGAUAGUGAAAGGAAAAUGGCAAAAUCUGCUCUGCCAUCAGCUGGCAAAGAAAUGAGAUGCUUCAGCUCAGCAUCAUUUAUGCACCCAACACAAACUUGUGGGUGAUGAAUGCUAAGUGGGUCUGAACGGCAGGAAGGUGGUGGGCAAUGGGCAUCCUGCUGAGGAGGCAAGGGCUCAGGUCGGCCUUCAGCAGCAGCCAACAGCUGGGCUUGGGGGAGCCCAUUCAGCCCUCAGGGCUUGCAAAGCCAAAGUGGACAAUUAUACCCGGGUGGUGGCGGUGGCGGCUGCUUGGAAGGGCCCAUUUAUAGAUGAGCCAGGAGAAGACGCAACCCAGUGAGGGCUACUCAUUGCUGUUUGGGAUGAAUGAAUAGCUCUACAUGGGUUGUUUCUUCUCCUGACCUGGCAGAUCUGGAGAGAUGCCCAAGAUAUUCCCCGUUACGUGUUUAUGAUUGGCAAGCAUCUUUUUUUUUUUUUUUUUUGCUGGCAUUCAGGUUCAUGCUCAGACUAACAAUGCUGGAAGACUCCUUCAAGUGUGUUCAGUCAAGUGCUUAAAAUUGCGCUGCCAACUACUGAAAAAUAUCCAAUGCAAAGAAACCAGGGAAAAUUGCUUUUCACUAGCUUGCAAAUGACCCCGUGAGUGUGUGUUCCUGAAAUAUUCAUGCCUUGUUUCUCCACCACAGGUCUUCACUGUCUAGCAGAGACAGCCUCCCUGACUAGCAUCCACCCUCCGGAAUGCAUGCAGGUGCAGCGAAGGGCUGACAGUUGUGCGUAGCCAGGUGGUUUCCCCAGAGCCAGGACUGGGGCUUGGAGUAUCCAACCACUCAAGGAAUGAGCUGGUUCUUCCUGAAGAAGGGAAGGCUUUGUGUAGGUAGCCAUAAACUUCCCAGGCCUUGAAGUCAUGUGGACCGGUAGUUCUUUUUCCCAUGGGUCUGCUGCCUGGGACGAUGGUUGACCUCCUUCAGCUGUCUGGAACGUCCCUGGUUCUCCUGAUACGAGCCUUCUCACGGCAGAGGGUAGCCCUGGAAGCAGCCUAGCCAGAGACAAAUAGAUGCAGAUCUCUGAUACGCCAGGCGAGGAGUGACUGGGAGAGGAGGGCGAGGGGCAGGGCCAGCCAGUGGUGGGAUCACCCAACAGGGAGCCACAGCAAAGCCACAGCAGAGGGCCCAAAGAGCUGCAUGCGGCUGCGGAGCCGCAGGUUGCUGACCCCUGGGUUAGAAGAUGAGAGCUUCAGACUGGCGCGAUUCUGUCUAUUAAUAAAGCAAAUAAAGAACUGGACUUGAUUGCCUCUCACUGAGUCAUCUUUGGGCCUGACAGGGUCCAGUUGGUGUAUGGAUUCAUGGAUCUUCCUUCUGCCAUCAGCGAAGCUAAAGGAGCCCUUGCUAGUUCUGGCCCCCUUUUUCAGCUAUUCCAAGAGAAGAGAAGAAGCUUCUGCUGGCAUCAAAGUCAAAAGCCAGAGGGAAGGUAGGGGCAGAGACAAGUUUUAUGAAGUGGCAGCUACUUUGAAGUUUCCCCCUUCUUCUGACCUUGUCCUAGGGCAGCACAAAGGUGUUAAUUCUCUGUUAGAAUUUGUCACCUGAUUACCUGAUCAGAAACUGGGAGUGAUUUGAAAGGAAGAUAAUAAAGUCAGGAAAGGACCAGGGAAUUGAGGACAGAAAGUUUCAUGGUGGCUUAAGGAGAGGUGGAGAGAACUUCUGCGCAUGCAGGAGGAAAAGGCCUCAUGUCUUCCCACCAUUACUCUGCCUAGGUUCUUUUUAUCGUUCCCUAUUUUUGUGCAAGCAGCCCAGAGGUACUCCAGAGUCAGGCAAUUCCUAAUUCAAACACCUGCAUAGAUACAACAUCAGGCCUCCCAAAGGUGCUUUUCAAGAGGCAACUGGACUUUCUGGUUUUUGU